rnacentral:tRNA from 2 species
GCCCGGCUAGCUCAAUCGGUAGAGCGUGAGACUCUUAAUUUCAAGGUUGUGGGUUCGACCCCCGCGUCGGGCU